AGUCGAGCGAACGGACGAGAAGCUUGCUUCUCUGAUGUUAGCGGCGGACGGGUGAGUAACACGUGGAUAACCUACCUAUAAGACUGGGAUAACUUCGGGAAACCGGAGCUAAUACCGGAUAAUAUUUUGAACCGCAUGGUUCAAAAGUGAAAGACGGUCUUGCUGUCACUUAUAGAUGGAUCCGCGCUGCAUUAGCUAGUUGGUAAGGUAACGGCUUACCAAGGCAACGAUGCAUAGCCGACCUGAGAGGGUGAUCGGCCACACUGGAACUGAGACACGGUCCAGACUCCUACGGGAGGCAGCAGUAGGGAAUCUUCCGCAAUGGGCGAAAGCCUGACGGAGCAACGCCGCGUGAGUGAUGAAGGUCUUCGGAUCGUAAAACUCUGUUAUUAGGGAAGAACAUAUGUGUAAGUAACUGUGCACAUCUUGACGGUACCUAAUCAGAAAGCCACGGCUAACUACGUGCCAGCAGCCGCGGUAAUACGUAGGUGGCAAGCGUUAUCCGGAAUUAUUGGGCGUAAAGCGCGCGUAGGCGGUUUUUUAAGUCUGAUGUGAAAGCCACGGCUCAACCGUGGAGGGUCAUUGGAAACUGGAAAACUUGAGUGCAGAAGAGGAAAGUGGAAUUCCAUGUGUAGCGGUGAAAUGCGCAGAGAUAUGGAGGAACACCAGUGGCGAAGGCGACUUUCUGGUCUGUAACUGACGCUGAUGUGCGAAAGCGUGGGGAUCAAACAGGAUUAG
rnacentral:rRNA from 1 species